rnacentral:rRNA from 1 species
CAGCAGCCGCGGGAAUACGAAGGGUGCAAGCGUUAAUCGGAAUUACUGGGCGUAAAGCGUGCGUAGGCGGUUUGUUAAGUCUGUUGUGAAAUCCCCGGGCUCAACCUGGGAAUGGCAAUGGAUACUGGCAAGCUAGAGUGUGUCAGAGGAUGGUGGAAUUCCCGGUGUAGCGGUGAAAUGCGUAGAGAUCGGGAGGAACAUCAGUGGCGAAGGCGGCCAUCUGGGACAACACUGACGCUGAGGCACGAAAGCGUGGGGAGCAAACAGGAUUAGAUACCCGUGUAGUCCCUGUCUCUUAUAA